GACGGGCCGAGUAUCUGAAGUAGCGUGGUCUCCUCUUCCAGCUGUUUUGUUGAUUUUGACAAAAAUGACGUCGGGGUUAAUGUGAAAGAACGAGACAACAUUACAGCUCGACCCGGACAGCUUAAAGUCACAGAUCAAGCCUGGCUCCAUGCCCCCAGGGACCAGACUUGCCUCCCAAACACGGACAACCUACACAAGUUUUUUGGACAUAAAAUGGAAGGUCAGAUGCAGUCCUCCAUGAUACCCUUUACUCUGUUGGAGCUGGUGACGCUGUCUCGCUGUCUGAGGCCUACCCAGAGACCAAAAGACCACAUCGUGAGGAGUAUAUGGCGGACUUCCACAGUUGGACUCGGAGCCUACCCAGCUGUCAGCGGGGAGACAUCUGGACAUCCUGACAAAGCUCCUUUGCGGGGCAAGAACCAGACUUGAAGAAAAUAAUUAGGGUCCACCUGCUGAACACUCAUGGUGUAGAGGGCAUAGAUGGAGGCGGUAUCUUUUGGGAGGUCCUCUAUAAGCUCCAAAAGUCACGCUGCAACCCCAACCAGGGCGUCUUCAGGACCCCCAACCCCAUCGCCAAGAUGCUGGUGGGAGAAUCCUUCACGCGACACUACUACUUCCUGGGCAGGAUCCUGAGAAAGGUGGUGGAGCUGAAGACGGGGGGCAAAGACCUCGACUACAGCCUCGACAAGCAGAUCCGGCCGCGCUGCCUGGCAUUCAGGCAGGGUCGAGCCAACUUGGACAACCUUUAGUAGUUCAAUCAAUCAAUCAAUCAAUGAUUAUUUAUAUAGCCCUAAAUCACUAGUGUCUCAAAGGGCUGCACAAACCACAACGACAUCCUCGGUAGAGCUCACAUGAGGGCGAGGAAAACUCACACCCAGUGGGACGUCGGUGACAAUGAUGACUAUGAGAAACCUUGGAGAGGACCGAAAGCAAAGUUGACCACGUUCUCAAGCUGGGCUUUAAGGUAUGACCUCCAAAGUGUCUUCUCUUUGUGUCGCUGUCCUCUUAAGUCGGGGGUCGGCAACUUUACUCCCUGGAGAUUUUUCAAAAUUAUAUAAAAAAGGGGGGCAGCACGGUGGUACAGGAGUUAGUGCAUGUGCCUCACAAUACAAAGGUCCUGAGUAGUCCUGAGUUCAAUCCCGGGCUCGGGAUCUUUCUGAAUGAAGUUUGCAUGUUCUACCCGUAACUGCGUGGGUUCUCUCCAGUUACUCCGGCUUCUUCCCACCUCCAAAGACAUGCACCUGGGGAUAGGUUGAUUGGCAACACUAAAUGGUCCCUAGUGUGUGAAUGUGGUCUAUCUGUGUUGGCCCUGUGAUUAGGUGGCGACUUGUCCAGGGUGUACCCCGCCUACCGCCCGAAUGCAGCUAAGAUAGGCUCCAGCGACCCCCACGUGACCCCAAAAGGGACAAGCGAUAGAAAAUGGAUGGAUGGAUGGAAAAAUAUGGUGGGGGAAGUAUAUUUCUGUUUUCAUAUGGUUUGUUUAGGAAGACAAACAUGACACAAACCUUUCUAUGUGUUAGAAAUCCCACUGUUUAUUUUAACAUGCUUCACUGACGAGAGUAUUUGGCAAGCGCCGUUUUGUCCUACUAAUUUCGGCGGCCCUUGAACUCACUGUAGUUUGUUUACACCAGGGGUGUCCAAAGUGCGGCCCGCAGGUCAUUUUUUUAGGCCCCAUGGCCCAUUUUGAAAAUACAAUUGAAAAAAAUUAAAAACAUAAAAAGUGGUAUAAAAGAGAAAACAGGUGAAAUGUAACAAGAAAAUGUCGCAAUGCUUUACUAACACGAAGCUGCCAUGCAGGCUGUUUCUUUCUUUAAAGAAAUCAUAAUGAAUCAAAAUCAGUCAUUUUGAAUUAUUGACCUAUUCAAGGCUUCAAUUACGUCACAAUAAAUAUUCCACUUUGAGAUAUUUUUGGGGGAAAAUGUUGCCUAUUUUGUGUUUUGCUUUACAAAAAACUGAGUUGUUUUUUUAAAGAAGGGCCUAAAACAAACAAACAAAAAACAUAAACAAUAAAACUUAAAAUUGACGAAUAUAUCUGAAGUUGAUCUCGAGAUUAUUGUGCUAAAAGUAAACCGUUAAAAAAAUAUAUACAUAAUGUAUUUUUUAACACUUUAAUGAGUAGGACACUUUUGAAUCCCCAAUUAGUUUAGUGUGAUUUGUUAAGUGUCAUUGCUCAAAAAAUAAUAAUGAAUCAAAAUCCAAAAUUAAGGCUCCAAUUAUUAUAUAAUCUCAAAUAUUCCACCUAAAAAAUGUUAUUGGGUGAAAAUAUUGCAUAGUUUGUGUUUUUAAAUUUUUUUUUCCUAAUGUUGAUCUAGGGAUUUAAAACUUGAAUAAUAAUGAAAAUAAUAUUACUGAAUAAUUACACAUUUUUAACUUUUUUUUUUACCAAAACCCUUUGGGGUCCCCGGGAUCAUAACUGAGUGGAAGCCAAAAUGUAUAUUUUCUAUACAUAUAUUGUAUUGGUUUUUAAAAUAAAAAAUAUGAAAAUGGCA